AGGAGUAUAGUUAAAAAAUAACAAUUUCUUUGCAAGAAAAAAUUAUUGAAAUCAAUUUCUCUUA
rnacentral:tRNA from 1 species